rnacentral:rRNA from 1 species
CCCGCUGAACUUAAGCAUAUCAAUAAGCGGAGGAAAAGAAACUAACAAGGAUUCCCCUAGUAACGGCGAGUGAAGCGGGAUGAGCUCAAAUUUAAAAUCUGGUAGUCUUUGGGCGCCCCCAUUGGUAAUCAAAAAAACAGUUUUCUGACCUGCCCUGGGACCAGGUUUCCGGGAUAGGGAACAUCAGAAAGGGGGAGAAUCCCGCCUUUGACCCGAGCCCCCAUUGUUUGGUGAUGCACCCUCGACGAAUCGAGUUGUUUGGGGUUGCAGCUCCAAAUGGGAGGUAAAUUCCUUUCAAAAGCUAAAUAUUGGGAAGGGACCAAUACCGAACAAGUUCCGGGAGGAAAAGAUGAAAAACCCUUUGGAAAGAAGAGUUAAACAGUCCUUGAAAUUGUAAAAAGGAAACGAUUGAAGUCAGUCGGCGCCUACUGGGACUCAGUCUUGCUUCGUCUGGUGGCAUUUCCUUGUGGACGGGCCAGGGUCCAUGUCAAUCGCUGGAGAAGGUCCAAGAGGAAUGGGGCUUCUUAGAGAGUGUUAUAGCCCAUGUUCAUAUACAGUGGUUGAUAUGGAGCGGUACAGCAUGCUUCGGCGGUGUUUGUACUGGCAUAAUGGCUUUAAACGACCCGUCUUGAAACACGG